UGAAUUUGCUCUUUCAGUAAGCAAUAGACUC
rnacentral:piRNA from 1 species